UCAUGCUAUUGUAUUAACUUGUGUACUUAUCUUGAAAAAAGAAUUUGCUUGCAGUGCCUCCCAAAUACCCAAAUGCGAAGAGGUCGGAAUAGAAUAGGAACAAAAAAAAUGAUAGAAGUUUGAAUAGAAAGAAAUAAUUGCUUAAACAAAAGAUUGAAAAUGGGCUUGGCUAAUCGAGGCAUACCAAGCUAAGUCAACUUGAG
rnacentral:lncRNA from 1 species